rnacentral:rRNA from 1 species
GCGCUUGCGGGGUUGUGGGAGUUUCUUUGACUAGUCUGCCGGCUGGUCGGCGAGUGAGAAACCGUAUGGGUAGGCGAAGGGCAUGCGAAAGGCCCGGCGUAGAGGGUAAGACCCCCGUAGCUGAAAUCUGUACGGCUUGUUUGGUGACUUCCCAAGUAGCACGGGGCCCGAGAAAUCUCGUGUGAAUCUGGCGGGACCACCCGCUAAGCCUAAAUAUUCCCUGGUGACCGAUAGCGGAUAGUACCGUGAGGGAAUGGUGAAAAGUACCGCGGGAGCGGAGUGAAAUAGUACCUGAAACCGUGUGCCUACAAGCCGUGGGAGCGUCGCACAGGCUUUGUCUGUGUCGUGACUGCGUGCCUUUUGAAGAAUGAGCCUGCGAGUUUGCGGUGUGUUGCGAGGUUAACCCGUGUGGGGGAGCCGUAGCGAAAGCGAGUCCGAAUAGGGCGUUUUAGUAGCGCGCUCAAGACCCGAAGCGGAGUGAUCUAGCCAUGGGCAGGUUGAAGCGGCUGUAAGAGGUCGUGGAGGACCGAACCCACCAGGGUUGAAAACCUGGGGGAUGACCUGUGGUUAGGGGUGAAAGGCCAAUCAAACUCCGUGAUAGCUGGUUCUCCCCGAAAUGCAUUUAGGUGCAGCGUCGUGUGUUUCUUGCCGGAGGUAGAGCACUGGAUAGGCGAUGGGCCCUACCGGGUUACUGACCUUAGCCAAACUCCGAAUGCCGGUAAGUGAGAGCGCGGCAGUGAGACUGUGGGGGAUAAGCUCCAUGGUCGAGAGGGAAACAGCCCAGAGCAUCGACUAAGGCCCCUAAGCGUAUGCUAAGUGGGAAAGGAUGUGGAGUCGCAGAGACAACCAGGAGGUUGGCUUAGAAGCAGCCAUCCUUGAAAGAGUGCGUAAUAGCUCACUGGUCAAGUGAUUCCGCGCCGACAAUGUAGCGGGGCUCAAGCGUGUGGUGGAUGGUUCACGAGUGAGAAUGCAGGCAUGAGUAGCGAUUCACACGUGGGAAACGUGUGCGCCGAUUGACUAAGGGUUCCUGGGUCAAGCUGAUCUGCCCAGGGUAAGUCGGGACCUAAGGCGAGGCCGACAGGCGUAGUCGAUGGACAACCGGUUGAUAUUCCGGUACCCGCUUUGAAACGCCCAGUAUCGAAUCCAUUGAUGCUAAGGCCGUGAAGCCGCCCUGGAGCCUUCGGGUAAAGGGGAGUGGUGGAGCCGUCGAUCCAAGGUGGUAGUAGGUAAGUGAUGGGGUGACGCAGGAAGGUAGUCCAGCCCGGGCGGUGGUUGUCCCGGGGUAAGGGUGUAGGGCGUUGUGCAGGUAAAUCCGUGCAACAUGAGGCCUGAGACCUGAUGCCGAGCCGAUUGUGGUGAAGUGGAUGAUCCUAUGCUGUCGAGAAAAGCCUCUAGCGAGUUUCAUGGCGGCCCGUACCCUAAACCGACUCAGGUGGUCUGGUAGAGAAUACCGAGGCGUUCGGGUGAACUAUGGUUAAGGAACUCGGCAAAAUGCCCCCGUAACUUCGGGAGAAGGGGGGCCACACCAGGUGAUGGCACUUGCUGCCGGUAGCUUGGGGUGGCCGCAGAGACCAGCGAGAAGCGACUGUUUACUAAAAACACAGGUCCGUGCGAAGCCGUAAGGCGAUGUAUACGGACUGACGCCUGCCCGGUGCUGGAACGUUAAGGGGACCGGUUAGCUGGCUUUCGGGUUGGCGAGGCUGAGAACUUAAGCGCCAGUAAACGGCGGUGGUAACUAUAACCAUCCUAAGGUAGCGAAAUUCCUUGUCGGGUAAGUUCCGACCUGCACGAAUGGCGUAACGACUUCUCGACUGUCUCAACCAUAGGCCCGGUGAAAUUGCAUUACGAGUAAAGAUGCUCGUUUCGCGCAGCAGGACGGAAAGACCCCGGGACCUUUACUAUAGUUUGAUAUUGGUGUUCGGUUCGGCUUGUGUAGGAUAGGUGGGAGACUGUGAAGCUCAUACGCCAGUAUGGGUGGAGUCGUUGUUGAAAUACCACUCUGGUCGUGCUGGAUGUCUAACCUGGGUCCGUGAUCCGGAUCAGGGACAGUGUCUGAUGGGUAGUUUAACUGGGGCGGUUGCCUCCUAAAGGGUAACGGAGGCGCCCAAAGGUUCCCUCAGCCUGGUUGGUAAUCAGGUGUUGAGUGUAAGUGCACAAGGGAGCUUGACUGUGAGACCGACGGGUCGAGCAGGGACGAAAGUCGGGACUAGUGAUCCGGCGGUGGCUUGUGGAAGCGCCGUCGCUCAACGGAUAAAAGGUACCCCGGGGAUAACAGGCUGAUCUUCCCCAAGAGUCCAUAUCGACGGGAUGGUUUGGCACCUCGAUGUCGGCUCGUCGCAUCCUGGGGCUGGAGUCGGUCCCAAGGGUUGGGCUGUUCGCCCAUUAAAGCGGUACGCGAGCUGGGUUUAGAACGUCGUGAGACAGUUCGGUCCCUAUCCGCUGUGCGCGUAGGAGUCUUGAGAAGGGCUGUCCCUAGUACGAGAGGACCGGGACGGACGAACCUCUGGUGUGCCAGUUGUUCUGCCAAGGGCAUGGCUGGUUGGCUACGUUCGGGAGGGAUAACCGCUGAAAGCAUCUAAGCGGGAAGCCUGCUUCGAGAUGAGGACUCCCACCCCC